GAAAACUGUCUUCUUUCUGAUAUUUGUAGAUUUGAAAGUGUUUGCCUCCUUAGGAAGGAAACUUUUCGAUUCUUGUUUGGAUAACGUUUCUUCCAACCUUAUUGACAGUGAACUACUAAUGUAUUCUUAAGUUUCAUUCAUCUCGAUUAUUACUUAUGAUUACUUAUUAAAUAAUUUCCUUGUAGAUUACUUAUUUAUAUCCAGCUAAAUUUUCUAAAGAGUAAUGAUACAAGAGUUGUAAUUUGUAAAAAGUUCCAAUAUUGUAGACCAAGUGGAUGUUUAGGUGAUGAUGUUAUUCUACAUUUGUGCUCUGCUAUGUAGUUGUUUCUCUUAUCGACGCAUGUAGUGAUAGGUAAUGCUCAAUGUUGAAAUUUUCUAUAAGAGUUGUACUCUCUUGUCCUAUGAUGGAUGCUUAUAUUCAUGUUGUCUUUGUAGGUUCAACUGGAGUCGACAACUUCAUGAGUUUACUUUCAAAGAACAUUUUCAGAGACGAACAUUCUCGGUUGGUCAUUUAUGCUUUAGCAGAAAAUCUUGUUAUAUGUAUUAUGAUGCUAUUUAAAAUAUUUUUUGAUUAAGGGCUGAGAUUUCGUACUUGUAAAUUGUUGGAACUUGAUUGGAAAUGAACAAAUAUUAUAAACUGUAUUAAAGCGUAUACAUAUUAAAGUGUCGGUUAUUUUUUUCUAUAUGAGUGUCAAUAUUAUAAAUUCAAAAUUGUCAUUGU
rnacentral:lncRNA from 1 species